rnacentral:lncRNA from 1 species
UUCCUCACGAAUGGAACAGGUGCUCCCCAAGGUGAUACACUGGAAAGUAUGAAUCCCCUAUCCAACACUUCCUGCAUCUACACCUUCAGUUCUUUUAACUCGAGUGACACCAUCCGGUAAGGAGCCUUAGGGACUGGCUCUGUUCCGGUGCUAAUUCAAUCACGAACUCCAUUUCUCUUUCUGACUGCAAACCUGACAAUUCUUCAGCAAAU